GACAGAGGUGCCGAGCGUUAGGCGGAAUCACUGGGCUUAAAGCGUGUGUAGGCGGGUCGUUAAGUGUCUUGUGAAAUCCCACCGCUCAACGGUGGAACUGCUGGGCAUACUGGCGAUCUUGAGCCACCUAGGGGCAGACGGAACAAGCGGUGGAGCGGUGAAAUGCGUAGAUAUCGCUUGGAACGCCGACGGUGAAAACAGUCUGCUGGGGGUGUGCUGACGCUGAGACACGAAAGCGUGGGGAGCAAACAGG
rnacentral:rRNA from 1 species